AGCGAACGCUGGCGGUAGGCCUAACACAUGCAAGUCGAACGGCAGCACAGUAAGAGCUUGCUCUUACGGGUGGCGAGUGGCGGACGGGUGAGGAGUACAUCGGAAUCUACUUUUUCGUGGGGGAUAACGUAGGGAAACUUACGCUAAUACCGCAUACGACCUGCGGGUGAAAGCAGGGGAUCUUCGGACCUUGCGCGAUUGAAUGAGCCGAUGUCGGAUUAGCUAGUUGGCGGGGUAAAGGCCCACCAAGGCGACGAUCCGUAGCUGGUCUGAGAGGAUGAUCAGCCACACUGGAACUGAGACACGGUCCAGACUCCUACGGGAGGCAGCAGUGGGGAAUAUUGGACAAUGGGCGCAAGCCUGAUCCAGCCAUACCGCGUGGGUGAAGAAGGCCUUCGGGUUGUAAAGCCCUUUUGUUGGGAAAGAAAAGCAGCAGGUUAAUACCCCGCUGUUCUGACGGUACCCAAAGAAUAAGCACCGGCUAACUUCGUG
rnacentral:rRNA from 1 species